UGGGUUUAUAGUGGAUGAUGAAGAGGAGGAGGAAGACGAAAAUGAUCAAGUUUUGAAAAGCAAGAAGACGAAAAAGAAAAAGAGAAAAAGGUAAACUUUAUAUCCCAAUGUGUUAUGUUGAUUGAUUUUAAUCUUAUGACAACAUUUGCCAUUUAUGAAGUGCUACUGGCUUUUAAUUCUCUAGGAGAUCAGUGAAGGAUCCUGUUCUAUAUGAUGAUGAUAGUGAAAUGAUUCAAGAAAAUAGAACUUCAAGUAUUUUUCAAUUUCCAAAAGUAAAUAUCGAACUUGAUCCAUACGCUCAAUUUUAUUCGUUGCUAUCAUUUAUAUUACUAAUCAUUGUAAGAUAGUUCUAGCAUUCUUAAGAAAAAUUCCUAUGUUUGACAUUUGAUAUAAGCUGUCGAGGUUACAAUAUCCAUGAUUUUCCCUGAUGGCUUUGUUCGAUGAAAAUUUACUCAGGAAACUGAAAUGUUUAAGAGGCUUAAAAAGGCUGGAAAACAUUCUAAAGUGGUUGAGCAAUCUGGUUCUUCUGAUGUUAAGGGUAAUUCCCUACUAUGAUUUGAGUAAUCUUUCUCUUUUUCUAUUGAACGAUGUUGGAAACAAUUUUACUUGCUGCUUGCCUUUGACAAAUAUAAAGAUUCUAGUGCCUAGGGUGCUUUUUGUGCUCUUGACAACACUGAUUUUAUAUAUGGUUCUGUAAAUGGCCUCUUUUUUUUUUUUUUAUUCUGAUGAGUGGUGCAGUUUACAGAAAGGCUUACUUCAACGCUGCCAAAAAGCUAUUCCCAACUUAGGUAAGUCUCUGUUUUAUGCUUGUAUGUCAUACAAAGAAGAGUCACUUUGUGUAAAUGAUAUGAUAAGCACCUUUAAUUUUUCACUCUGUGCUCUUCUUUUUUUCAAUCUCUUGUUUGUAAUGUUUGAGUUUAAAGUGAGAUGCUGAAAGGGGAAAAUAUACAACCAUUUUCUUUCUGUAAGUAUUAUCAUACGGAUAUAAUUAUUAAGGUCCCAAAUGUUUUCAUCCUUGUUCCUUGCUGUGGUAUCUUUAAACACUAUCUGUGCUAAUUCUUUUACUGAAAGUUGUUUCCCCUCCUUAUAUUUAUAGAUGAGAUUUUUCCAUAAUUAAUUUUGUAGGAAUUAUUUGUUGCAUUUUUGUAAUUAUUUAUUGCAUGAGGUUAAUGGCUUGCUUGAGUUUUUCCAAGGUUCUUAGUAGUUAUAUCAAUUUUUGGUAAUUAUUUCUGGUUUGAAACUGGUUAUAUAUUAUUGGAUCAUGGUGAUCGUUAUAUUUGUGCUUUGACUAAUCAAAUCUUGGUGGUAAUAUACUUCACGCUGUAUGUAAGUAGGAAUUUUUGUUCAUUUCAUCAAAUCUAGGUGAAAUUUGUAAAUUAUGUGCCCCAACUCUUUUGCAAGUGAGCUGUAAAAUUUUCAUUGAUGUUCUUUUGUAUCAUUAAAUUUCUAUAUUUGCAGGAAUGAUGGAUUUCAUAAGGUAAGUUUUUUAUUAAAUUUUUACUUAUGUGCCAAGAGUCGAGAGUGGCUCAAGUGCCUUAAUCAAUGGCUGAGCCAUAAUAAUGGUCUCUAUACUGUGAUGGUAUACUGAAAGUUUGGCUUCCAAGAACAAGUUCUAUUUACUGCAUUAUUUUUAG
rnacentral:lncRNA from 1 species